rnacentral:rRNA from 1 species
GAUGAACGCUAGCUACAGGCUUAACACAUGCAAGUCGAGGGGCAGCAUGGUCUUAGCUUGCUAAGGCCGAUGGCGACCGGCGCACGGGUGAGUAACACGUAUCCAACCUGCCGUCUACUCUUGGACAGCCUUCUGAAAGGAAGAUUAAUACAAGAUGGCAUCAUGAGUCCGCAUGUUCACAUGAUUAAAGGUAUUCCGGUAGACGAUGGGGAUGCGUUCCAUUAGAUAGUAGGCGGGGUAACGGCCCACCUAGUCUUCGAUGGAUAGGGGUUCUGAGAGGAAGGUCCCCCACAUUGGAACUGAGACACGGUCCAAACUCCUACGGGAGGCAGCAGUGAGGAAUAGUGAUCAAUGGGCGCAGGCCUGAACCAGCCAAGUAGCGUGAAGGAUGACUGCCCUAUGGGUUGUAAACUUCUUUUAUAAAGGAAUAAAGUCGGGUAUGUAUACCCGUUUGCAUGUACUUUAUGAAUAAGGAUCGGCUAACUCCGUG